rnacentral:rRNA from 1 species
UACGUAGGGUGCAAGCGUUAAUCGGAAUUACUGGGCGUAAAGCGUGCGCAGGCGGUUUUGUAAGUUUGUCGUGAAAUCCCCGGGCUCAACCUGGGAACUGCAUUUGUGACUGCACGGCUGGAGUGCGGCAGAGGGGGAUGGAAUUCCGCGUGUAGCAGUGAAAUGCGUAGAUAUGCGGAGGAACACCGAUGGCGAAGGCAAUCCCCUGGGCCUGCACUGACGCUCAUGCACGAAAGCGUGGGGAGCAAACAGG